UACGUAGGUGGCAAGCGUUGUCCGGAUUUACUGGGCGUAAAGAGCGCGCAGGCGGUCGUUCAAGUCGCGUGUGAAAGCCCCCGGCUCAACUGGGGAGGGUCACGCGAUACUGAUCGACUCGAAGGCAGGAGAGGGUAGUGGAAUUCCCGGUGUAGUGGUGAAAUGCGUAGAUAUCGGGAGGAACACCGAUGGCGAAGGCAAUCCCCUGGGCCUGCACUGACGCUCAUGCACGAAAGCGUGGGGAGCAAACAGG
rnacentral:rRNA from 1 species